rnacentral:rRNA from 1 species
AGGGAAUCUUCGGCAAUGGACGGAAGUCUGACCGAGCAACGCCGCGUGAGUGAAGAAGGUUUUCGGAUCGUAAAGCUCUGUUGUAAGAGAAGAACGAGUGUGAGAGUGGAAAGUUCACACUGUGACGGUAUCUUACCAGAAAGGGACGGCUAACUACGUGCCAGCAGCCGCGGUAAUACGUAGGUCCCGAGCGUUGUCCGGAUUUAUUGGGCGUAAAGCGAGCGCAGGCGGUUAGAUAAGUCUGAAGUUAAAGGCUGUGGCUCAACCAUAGUUCGCUUUGGAAACUGUCAAACUUGAGUGCAGAAGGGGAGAGUGGAAUUCCAUGUGUAGCGGUGAAAUGCGUAGAUAUAUGGAGGAACACCGGUGGCGAAAGCGGCUCUCUGGUCUGUAACUGACGCUGAGGCUCGAAAGCGUGGGGAGCGAACAGGAUUAGAUACCCUGGUAGUCCACGCCGUAAACGAUGAGUGCUAGGUGUUGGGUCCUUUCCGGGAUUCAGUGCCGCAGCUAACGCAUUAAGCACUCCGCCUGGGGAGUACGACCGCAAGGUUG